AGAGAUCUUCUUGCCCAUGCCUCCCAAGUGCUGGGGUUAAAGGCUAAUACCACCAUGCCUGUCAAGAAUAUAUUGUUUACUACAAACCUUUACUUCCUGUCCAGGAAAGAACUAUAGCUACAUGCAGCCCACUAUCCUUUCUAUUUGCUGUAAUGUAGACAAUUAAGUAGUUGGGAUUAUUUAUUUAUUUACUUUGAAAGGUUUACUUGUGUUUUUAUUUAUAUGCAUGUUUCUUUUUGUGUUUCUAUGUAUGGGUGAGUGCCCAAGGAUGUCAUGGAGUUGGAGUUACAGGUAAUUAUGAGCUGCAAUAUAGAUGCUAGGAACCAGACUCAGAUUUCCUAAGAGAGCAGCAAGUUCAACUAACUGCUGAGCCACCUCUCCUGGCCUAGAAACAGCUGGUACUUAGAUGAGACUUCUUAUACAUGGUCUCGUCUUCUUUCUUGCUCAGUUAAGUUCAACAGUAAAGAUCACCUGUUUGGAUAUAAAAUACUUGCUCUAACUGGAAUUAUACACUAUUGUUCUUUUAAUAACUGGCUUGUUUUAUUUGGCCCAAUAACUACAAGUUGAAGUCUGAGACAGGAUUUCUUCAUUUUAAAGGCUGAAUAACCAUUUUGUACUUACCACUUUGGUUUAUUCAUCUAUUAAUAGACAUUUGGGUUCAUUUCCGUUUCUUGUCUCUUGUCUCUGAUGCUGUUAUGAGUGUGGCCAUGCAAAAAUUCUUUUUCAAUACUCUACUUUCAAUUUCAGAAGUAAGACUGAUAGAUCAUAUGUUAGCAAGACCUUGGAUUUUCUGAGUAUCUUCCAUAUUGUCUUCUACAACACUUGUACCAUUCAAUAUUUCUGCCUUAGCACCCAAAUGUCUCAAUGUUUGCACAUUCUUACCAACACUUACUGCUAUUUUUAAAAAUGUUUUAUUGAUUCUUUGUGAGUUUCACAUUAUAUACUUCAAUCCUACUCAUCUUCCUGUCCCUUCAUAUCUGCUCUCUGCUCUAGCCACUUCCCUCC
rnacentral:lncRNA from 1 species